rnacentral:rRNA from 1 species
AGCAGCCGCGGUAAUUCCAGCUCCAAUAGCGUAUAUUAAAGUUGUUGCAGUUAAAAAGCUCGUAGUUGAAUUUCGGGAUCAGUUGAUCGGUCGUGCCUCGGUACGUACUGGUCAAAUUGAUUCCUACCUUCUGACGAACCACGAUGUCAUUAAUUUGAUGUCGCGGGAAAUCAGGACUGUUACUUUGAAAAAAUUAGAGUGUUUAAAGCAGGCUCGCGCUUGAAUACAUUAGCAUGGAAUAAUGAAAUAGGACGUUUGAUUCUAUUUUGUUGGUUUCUAGGAUCGACGUAAUGAUUAAUAGGGAUAGUUGGGGGCAUUAGUAUUCAAUUGUCAGAGGUGAAAUCCUUGGAUUUAUUGAAGACUAACUACUGCGAAAGCAUUUGCCAAGGAUGUUUUCAUUAAUCAAGAACGAAAGUUAGGGGAUCGAAGACGAUCAGAUACCGUCGUAGU